AGCGCGACGGGGUCCACACCGCGGGUGACCACCAGGUAGUCCCGCAUGACGACGGAGUGCUUGUUCUC
rnacentral:sRNA from 1 species